rnacentral:rRNA from 1 species
CAGCCGCCACGGUAAUACGUAGGUGGCAAGCGUUGUCCGGAAUUAUUGGGCGUAAAGGGCUCGCAGGCGGUUUCUUAAGUCUGGUGUGAAAGCCCCCGGCUCAACCGGGGAGGGUCAUUGGAAACUGGGAAACUUGAGUGCAGAAGAGGAGAGUGGAAUUCCACGUGUAGCGGUGAAAUGCGUAGAGAUGUGGAGGAACACCAGUGGCGAAGGCGACUCUCUGGUCUGUAACUGACGCUGAGGAGCGAAAGCGUGGGGAGCGAACAGGAUUAGAUACCCCUGUAGUCCCUGUCUCUUAUAC